rnacentral:rRNA from 1 species
GAUUCCCCUAGUAACUGCGAGUGAAGCGGGAAAAGCUCAAAUUUAAAAUCUGAUAGUCUUAGGCUGUCCGAGUUGUAAUCUAGAGAAGUGUUAUCCGCGCUGGACCGUGUACAAGUCUCCUGGAAUGGAGCGUCAUAGAGGGUGAGAAUCCCGUCUUUGACACGGACUACCAGGGCUUUGUGAUGCGCUCUCAAAGAGUCGAGUUGUUUGGGAAUGCAGCUCAAAAUGGGUGGUAAAUUCCAUCUAAAGCUAAAUAUUGGCGAGAGACCGAUAGCGAACAAGUACCGUGAGGGAAAGAUGAAAAGAACUUUGGAAAGAGAGUUAAACAGUACGUGAAAUUGCUGAAAGGGAAACGCUUGAAGUCAGUCGCGUUGGCCAGGGAUCAACCUUGCUCUUGCUGGGUGUACUUUCUGGUUAACGGGUCAACAUCAAUUUUGAUUGUUGGAAAAAGAUCAAGGGAAUGUAGCAUCUUCGGAUGUGUUAUAGCCUUUGGUUGUAUACAACAAUUGGGAUUGAGGAACUCAGCACGCCGAAAGGCCGGGUUUUUAACCACGUUCGUGCUUAGGAUGUUGGCAUAAUGGCUUUAAUCGACCCGUCUUGAAACACGGACCAAGGAGUCUAACAUGCCUGCGAGUGUUUGGGUGGAAAACCCGAGCGCGUAAUGAAAGUGAAAGUUGAGAUCCCUGUCGCGGGGAGCAUCGACGCCCGGACCAGAAAUUUAUGGACGGUUCCGCGGUAGAGCAUGUAUGUUGGGACCCGAAAGAUGGUGAACUAUGCCUGAAUAGGGUGAAGCCAGAGGAAACUCUGGUGGAGGCUCGUAGCGAUUCUGAC